rnacentral:tRNA from 1 species
GUGGUCGUCGUCUAAUGGAAGGACGUCAGAUUGUGGCUCUGAAAAUGAGAGUUCGAUUCUCUUCGAUUACCCCA